AGGAGCAUUCUUCCGGUGAAAACCGGACAGAAAUCCUGCGUCGGCCGAAUGUGUCGGCGAGGAGCUCAUAGGCGGAGACACUGGCUAAUUGAGUCUGGCAACGGCCGGCUUCCUAGUACAGCCCUUUGGGCGUGGAACAGAAGUUGGUGCGGCUGGAACUCGGUGAUAAGCACCCUGUUGGGUAUCUGAAAGAGCAACCUUUUCGAGGGUUGGUCUUCAAUGCCAGGCACGACCUGGCCUCCCAUACCGACUGCUGUGAAGCGGUGCUGGUGGUUGGCUUGGAUGGUUGUGGGUUGGUCGUUGGUUGAGAAUUGCACAGUGGACGCGAGCAUCUUGUUUUCUGU
rnacentral:misc_RNA from 1 species